AUCGCUUCUCGGCACUAUGUGCUAAGAUCAAAGUGUAGUAUCUGUUCUUAUCAGCUUAAUAUCUGAUACGCCCCGCAUGCGGGGCCAGUAUAUUAAACUGAUUUUUGGGAAUUGACGAAGGUUAGGGGCUUGCUCCACAUUUGUCGCGGGUUGGCCUGGUAUUGAAGUACCGCCAGGAUCAGCCCAUUUGAA
rnacentral:snRNA from 1 species